rnacentral:rRNA from 1 species
UACGUAGGAGGCAAGCGUUGUCCGGAUUUACUGGGCGUAAAGCGCGCGCAGGUGGCAGCACAAGUACGGAGUGAAAUCUCCCUGCUCAACGGGGAGGGUGCUCUGUAGACUGUGCAGCUAGAGGACGGUAGAGGGGGGUAGAAUUGCUGGUGUAGCGGUGAAAUGCGUAGAGAUCAGCAGGAAUACCCGUGGCGAAGGCGGCCCCCUGGGCCGUACCUGACGCUGAGGCGCGAAGGCUAGGGGAGCGAACGGG